rnacentral:snRNA from 1 species
CGUCACUCGAACCGACGACCUCU